AGUCUCACGAAGCUAUUUUUAAAAUUUAUUCUUUACUUGGUCACUUUUUGUUCCUUGGACACCAAUUUUGCUUUGACUUUUUUUCCUCAAAGUAUAAAAAGUAUGAAAUAUAAACAAGCUCUUGCACUGCAUAUUUAGAAGUGUACAAUUGAAGCAUUAUAGAGCUAUCUAUAUACUGAUAAAUC